GGUGUCCAAGUCCUCACUGCCUCAGGCCACUGUGACUCCUCAACCCCUGCUCUGGUGACCCUGCUCCAGGCAGUGAGGACCCCGCUGAGGGCUGAGAACUUCUCCUUCCUGCUGGACGAGUUGGUGUCCAAUGUGACGCUGUACAUCACAGGGUCCUCACCUGCGUUUACUCUCUACAGUCCCACAGGCGAGUCACAGAGCCAUGAGGUGACAGAGGGACUUCUGGG